rnacentral:rRNA from 1 species
GAUGAACGCUGGCGGCGUGCUUAACACAUGCAAGUCGAACGAAGCACUUUAUUUGAUUUCCUUCGGGACUGAUUAUUUUGUGACUGAGUGGCGGACGGGUGAGUAACGCGUGGGUAACCUGCCUUGUACAGGGGGAUAACAGUUGGAAACGGCUGCUAAUACCGCAUAAGCGCACGGCAUCGCAUGAUGCCGUGUGAAAAACUCCGGUGGUAUAAGAUGGACCCGCGUUGGAUUAGCUAGUUGGUGAGGUAACGGCCCACCAAGGCGACGAUCCAUAGCCGAACUGAGAGGGUGACCGGCCACAUUGGGACUGAGACACGGCCCAAACUCCUACGGGAGGCAGCAGUGGGGAAUAGUGCACAAUGGGCGAAAGCCUGAUGCAGCGACGACGCGUGAGCGAAGAAGUAUUGCGGUAUGUAAAGCUCUAUCAGCAGGGAAGAUAAUGACGGUACCUGACUAAGAAGCACCGGCUAAAUACGUG